GACGAACGCUGGCGGCGUGCUUAACACAUGCAAGUCGAACGGAAAGGCCCUGCUUUUGUGGGGUGCUCGAGUGGCGAACGGGUGAGUAACACGUGAGUAACCUGCCCUUGACUUUGGGAUAACUUCAGGAAACUGGGGCUAAUACCGGAUAGGAGCUCCUGCUGCAUGGUGGGGGGUGGAAAGUUUCGGCGGUUGGGGAUGGACGCGCGGCUUAUCAGCUUGUUGGUGGGGUAGUGGCUUACCAAGGCUUUGACGGGUAGCCGGCCUGAGAGGGUGACCGGCCACAUUGGGACUGAGAUACGGCCCAGACUCCUACGGGAGGCAGCAGUGGGGAAUAUUGCACAAUGGGCGGAAGCCUGAUGCAGCAACGCCGCGUGCGGGAUGACGGCCUUCGGGUAGUAAACCGCAUUCGCCUGUGACGACGCGUGAGUGACGGUAAUGGGUAAAGAAGCACCGGCUAACUACGUG
rnacentral:rRNA from 1 species